GCCUGGUAGAGCACACCCGUCUGGGGGCUCAGACGCCUCGUAAGCGUGGGGUCGUGGGUCCAACUCCCACCGCCGGCU
rnacentral:tRNA from 1 species